rnacentral:rRNA from 1 species
AAUCUUCCGCAAUGGACGAAAGUCUGACGGAGCAACGCCGCGUGAGUGAUGAAGGUUUUCGGAUCGUAAAACCCUGUUGUUAGGGAGGAACAAGCAUCGGAGUCACACCCGGUCCCUUGACGGCACCUGACGAGCCAUCCACGGCUACCUACCUGCCAGCCGCCGCGGUAAUACGUAGGUGGCGAGCGUUGUCCGGAAUUCCUGGGCGUAAAGGGUACGUAGGCGGCUAUAUAAGUCAGGUGUGAAAUGCCAGUGCUUAACACUGGAAUUGCAUUUGAAACUGUGUAGCUUGAGUGCAGGAGAGGAAAGUGGGAUUCCUAGUGUAGCGGUGAAAUGCGUAGAGAUUAGGAGGAACACCAGUGGCGAAGGCGACUUUCUGGACUGUAACUGACGCUGAGGUACGAAAGCGUGGGUAGCGAACA